GCCGGGUUAGCUCAGUUGGUUAGAACAUGGUGCUAAUACCGCCAAGUUCACAGGUUCAAUCCCUGCUUACUGCA
rfam:Pelecanus crispus contig89206, whole genome shotgun sequence.